rnacentral:rRNA from 1 species
AAUAGAUACCCUGGUAGUCCACGCCGUAAACGAUGAGUGCUAGGUGUUAGGGGGGUCCAACCCCUUAGUGCUGAAGUUAACACAUUAAGCACUCCGCCUGGGGAGUACGACCGCAAGGUUGAAACUCAAAGGAAUUGACGGGGGCCCGCACAAGCAGUGGAGCAUGUGGUUUAAUUCGAAGCAACGCGAAGAACCUUACCAGGUCUUGACAUCCUCUGACAACCCUAGAGAUAGGGCGUUCCCCUUCGGGGGACAGAGCGACAGGUGGUGCAUGGUUGUCGUCAGCUCGUGUCGUGAGAUGUUGGGUUAAGUCCCGCAACGAGCGCAACCCUUGAUGUUAGUUGCCAGCAUUAAGUUGGGCACUCUAACGUGACUGCCGGUGACAAACCGGAGGAAGGUGGGGAUGACGUCAAAUCAUCAUGCCCCUUAUGACCUGGGCUACACACGUGCUACAAUGGGCGGCACAAAGGGCAGCGAAACCGCGAGGUCGAGCGAAUCCCAUAAAGCCGCUCUCAGUUCGGAUUGCAGGCUGCAACUCG